AUUGAACGCUGGCGGCAGGCCUAACACAUGCAAGUCGAACGAGUGGCGGACGGGUGAGUAAUGUCUGGGAAACUGCCCGAUGGAGGGGGAUAACUACUGGAAACGGUAGCUAAUACCGCAUACCAUCGGAUGUGCCCAGGUGGGAUUAGCUAGUAGGUGGGGUAAAGGCUCACCUAGGCGACGAUCCCUAGCAGGUCUGAGAGGAUGACCAGCCACACUGGAACUGAGACACGGUCCAGACUCCUACGGGAGGCAGCAGUGGGGAAUAUUGCGCAAUGGGGGCAAGCCUGACGCAGCCAUGCCGCGUGAAUGAAGAAGGCCUUCGGGUUGUAAAGUACUUUCAGCAGGGAGGCGUUACCCGCAGAAGAAGCACCGGCUAACUCCGUGCCAGCAGCCGCGGUAAUUC
rnacentral:rRNA from 1 species